CCUACGGGUGACAGCAGUGAGGAAUAUUGGUCAAUGGUCGGGAGACUGAACCAGCCAAGCCGCGUGAGGGAGGAAGGUACAGAGUAUCGUAAACCUCUUUUGUCAGGGAACAAAGACUGGGACGCGUCCCCGGAUGAGUGUACCUGAAGAAAAAGCAUCGGCUAACUCCGUGCCAGCAGCCGCGGUAAUACGGAGGAUGCGAGCGUUAUCCGGAUUUAUGGGGUUUAAAGGGUGCGCAGGCGGUCUGUUAAGUCAGAGGUCAAAGCCCGGGGCUCAACCCCGGCCCGCCGUUGAAACUGGCAGUCUCGAGUUGGAGAGAGGUAGGCGGAAUGCGCGGUGUAGCGGUGAAAUGCAUAGAUAUCGCGAAGAACGCCGAGUGCGAAGGCAGCAUGCCGGCUCCACACUGACGCUGAGGCACGAAAGCGUGGGUAUCGAACAGGAUUAGAUACCCCUGUAGUC
rnacentral:rRNA from 1 species